CUCCAGUCUGGAUGACAGAGCAAGACUCCGUGUCAAACAAAACAAAACAAAACAAAACAUCAGGGUAAGGGCAGCAGUACACCAUGACUUGCUAUAAAUAGUUUCAUUAACCAAUUAUUUGGUAGUGUUGUUGAAAGAGCAUUUCCUUAUUUUAAAGCUCACAAUAUUGUCUUCAUUUGUAGCGUGUGUGGACUCCAGCCAAAGCAACUGACUAGAGAACAUAGGAGAGAAUCUUGGUGACAGAAGCUUCCCCUCUGCAUACCCCACAGUGCCAAGAAGAGGGGCAAGGUCCCUGAUAAAGACAUAAGAAUCUGAAAGCAGCAUUGCAGUGGAUUGAACUAGCGAGUGGAAACCUGAAGACUCUAGAGCAGUGGUCCCUAACCUUUUUGACACUAGGGACUGGUUUCAUGGCAGAUAAUUUUUCCACUGACUGCUGGGGCGGGGCAUGGGGGGGAUGGCUUUGGGAUGAAACUGUUCCACCUCAGAUCAUCAGACAUUAGUUUGAUUCUCAUAAGAAGUGUGCAACCUAUAUCCUUCGCAUCUGUAGUUCACAUAGGGUUCAUGCUCCCGUGAGAAUCUAAUGCCACCACUGAUCUGACAGGAGGCAGAGCUCAGGUGUUAAUGCUCACUAGCCUGCUCACCUCCUGCUGUGCGACCAGCUCCUAACAGACCACGGACCAGUACCAGUUCUCAGCCCAGGGGUUGUGACCCCUGCUCGCAAGGUAUAUCCCUAAUAGAGCUCUACCAGAAAGCACCUGGAAAAAAAUGCACUGAGAAAGGACUGCAUUGUUACACAUUUGCCAUAUUGUUGAAUUUCUCAGCAGAAGAAAACCCUCAAGAUUAUAAAGGUUGUGAGAAAAUCAUAGAUCUAUGAGGGUCUGAGGCAAGACAAGAGACCUCCAAAUGUGAUAGAAUUUCUAUCAGAAAAAUGCUUCUAAUUUGAUUGUCAAGACAUUGAAUAUAUUGUAGAAAUGAACAUUUGGGGCCAGGCACAGUGGCUUAUGCCUGUAAUCCCAGUACUUUGGGAGGCCAAGGCAGGUGAAUCACCUGAGGUCAGGAGUUUGAGACCAGCCUGGCCAACAUGGUGAAACCCAGUCUCUACUAAAAAUACAAAAAUUAGCUUGGCAUGGUGGCGUGGGCCUGUAGUCCUAGCUACUCGGGAAGCUGAGGCAUAAGAAUUGCUUGAACCCAGGAGGCGGAGGUUGCAGCGAGCCAAGAUUGCACCACUGUACUCCAGCCUGGGUGAAAGAGUGAGACCCCAUCUCAACAACAACAACAACAACAACAAGAAAUGAACAUUUGGAAUCCACAGAGUUAUCAUAACUUUAAAGUUAUCUAAACCAUGUCAUUAUCUUACUUCCAAAAAACAUGUUGACCAAAUUACCUGGAGCCUCACAGCAUAAUAAUCAAUGGCUGCCUUAGAACCUGCUGAUACGGAUUUUCUACAUUUUGCCACCCCACACAUCCCCCGACAUCUCUUUUGGUUAAUUUGUACUCUUCCAAUGGAAACAUUAAGAAUUUUCUCUUCUGAUGUGGUGGCUUCUCUUGUUUUUUUGAUCUGCACUGAGAUAAAAUUUGAUGAAACACCAGAUACCAAUAAAAAGAGCAGCAG
rnacentral:lncRNA from 10 species